UCUCAUUCAAUCUCAUUCACGGCCGCUUCUCUUCUCUUUGUGACCUAAAUUCUUCACCAUUUCUUCUCAUCUCUCCCUUGAAAUCAAUCUACAUCAGUUAGAUUAAAUUUGCAUCUCUCUUCUUCACACGCCAAAUAAACCCUAACUUGCAUCCUCUUCCUCUUCCUCUUCCCUUCGUUCAACUCGAGAAAACAUUGUCAAUACGCUACAUUCAAACUUCACCAACCCCGAUCAUCUCUAAAGUCUCACCGUUUCAUCAAUGUGCAAUGAAAGUGUAUAUGAAGUAAUUACAGAUGAUAAUCGUGAGAGGACCAUGAUCUUUAUAAGGAACAAAGAAAAUUUGAAUGUUUUGAUCGAGACCAAAGGUGGGAAGAAGUCUACCAUUAGUAAUUCCUUUUAUGAAGCUCCAUUGUUGGUGUUAAUUUCUGUUUAAAACCAUGGCUGAAAUUACGUUUUUCGAGCCCAACAUCUUCACUGACCCUGAAGGUCAAGGUCUCCAGGCUUUACCAAAGCCCAAGUGGAUGAGAUCUUGAACCCUGCUGAAUGCACAAUUGUCUCUUCAUUGUCGAAUGAGCAUGUAGACUCUUAUGUUCUAUCCGAACCGAGUCGGUUUGUGUUCCCUUACAAAAUCGUUAUCAAAACUUGUGUAACCACUAGACUGCUGCUCUCGAUAUCGGCUAUUCUCAAGCUGGUGGAAUCGAUUUCGCUUAUUGUCCAGUCAACAAGAUACACACGCGGUUGCUUUAUCUUUCCCAGUGCUCAAUCGUACCCUCACCGCAGCUUCACCGAAGAAGUUUCAGUGCUGGAUGGUCAUUUUGAAAAGCAUGGUUUAGCCAGCAAAGAGUGAUGUAAUUUCAGUUUUUUAGGUAAUGGCAAAGGUGCUGCAACUUCUUAAUAUGUUAUGCGAAUUGCACCAUAUGUUCAGAAGCAAAAACUCAUAUCCAAUGGGCUCCAAGCGACUUGACUUCGGUGACGGCGCUAGCCCCGGGAAGAUUUUAUCGGUGGUUUAGCGAAGGAUACUACCAUAGAUACAUUUGUUAAGUACUUUGGAAAGUAUGGAGACCUUACGGACUCGGUUAUUAUAAAUGAUCGACAGACCGGUCGGCUGAGGGGCUUCUGGUUUGUUACGUAUGCGGAUCCUUCGGUUGUUGACAUUGUUAUUGCUGAGACACAUGUUAUUAAUGGGAAACAAGUUGAAGAAGAUAAUAAAAUGAAUGAAUGUUUCAAGAAGGGCAAGAAAAGAUGAUAAAACAUGGUUUGUGGACAUUCCAUUCAUCUGGAUUGCUACAGGAAGUUGAUUGACCAGGAUUAGUUAUUUCACAAUCCUUUUAUGGAUUUUCACUUUUUCUAAAAUGGUUUAUUUUCUAUGGGUGCAGAAUUGUAGUUUAUGGAUGCUAAUUUCUUCGUCUUCCAGAUACCAGUGUCCCAUAUGCUCAAGAUCGGUGUCUAAUACGUCCAAAAUAUGGCAAAGGUUAGACCAAGAGGGCGUGAGGCGGAAGAGGUUGAGCCCAUACUAGAUGCAUUGCCGAAUCUAGAACAGUACAUAUACCGCUCUUCAGCCGGUGUUUACCUUAAAUCCGAUAUUUUACCACAUCGUGAGGUUCGUUUUUUGAACAUUUUUUAAACAACCUUUUACUGGGAAGCUCAAGACCGAGGACUUACUACAGUCAAAGGGUGUCAACUACACUUCUAUAAGGCCCGUUUAUAUUUACGACCCGUUGAACUACAACCAUAUCGAAGAGUGACUUUUCCAUAGGUUGAAAGCGGGCCGACUCAUCCCCAUUCCCAACUCAGGUUUGCAAGUAACCCAACUCGGUCACGUAAAGCUUUUAUAAAAGUUUUGGGGAAUGAAAAAGCAAGCAAACAAGUGUACAACAUUUUAGGAGAUAGAUAUGUUACUUUCGAUGGAUUAGCAAGAGCUUGUGCUAAGGCUGGUGGAUUCCCUGAGCCCAAGAUCAUUCACUAUAAUCCCAAGGAGUUCCAUUACGGUAAAAAGAAAGCAUUUCCAUUCCAGAACCAGAUAUGCAAUGAUAAAGAUCAAGCAAAUUCAUGGUUUCGUGGCUUAAAACUGUACUUUACUCGCUUUGUUGUUUUAAAAUUAAGGAAUUUUGGCUUGAGUUGUAGUCAUAGUUUAAUAAAUUUUGGCCUUAUUGAGUUUUUAAACUAUAAUUUGUUUAACCAAGUGAUAUUAAGCCUAUAAUAAUUGUUU
rnacentral:lncRNA from 1 species